rnacentral:rRNA from 1 species
CCUACGGGAGGCAGCAGUGAGGAAUAUUGGUCAAUGGACGCAAGUCUGAACCAGCCAUGCCGCGUGCAGGAAGACGGCUCUAUGAGUUGUAAACUGCUUUUGUACGAGGGUAAACGCAGAUACGCGUAUCUGUCUGAAAGUAUCGUACGAAUAAGGAUCGGCUAACUCCGUGCCAGCAGCCGCGGUAAUACGGAGGAUUCAAGCGUUAUCCGGAUUUAUUGGGUUUAAAGGGUGCGUAGGCGGUCGUAUAAGUUAGAGGGGAAAUCCCGAGGCUCAACUUCGGAAUUGCCUCUGAUACUGUUCGGCUAGAGAGUAGUUGCGGUAGGCGGAAUGUAUGGUGUAGCGGUGAAAUGCUUAGAGAUCAUACAGAACACCGAUUGCGAAGGCAGCUUACCAAGCUACUUCUGACGUUGAGGCACGAAAGCGUGGGGAGCAAACAGGAUUAGAUACCCCUGUAGUC